UCAUCUCAAACCUUUCGCUUCUGAUCGCAAAGGUCUUGCGUUCGGCGAAGUCGUCUAUCGAGGCGGCGGUAGCUGAACCUAGACUUGGAAGUGUAUUGGUCUUGGACUUGAGCGUCUCGUCGGUCCGCUUGGAUCGACCCGCUUGAAAUGUAUUAGCUGGCGACCCGCCUUACGGUUCCACUCGGCGUAGUAAGUCUUAUUCGCCGAGGACGCCUCUUUGAGGUGGCCUAUGGGUUUGGUGUGAUGCCGCUUCCAGUCGUCUUUGGACAGUCUUGAAC
rnacentral:misc_RNA from 1 species